rnacentral:rRNA from 1 species
AGUGAACGCUGGCGGCGUGCCUAAUACAUGCAAGUCGAACGGAGUGGCGCACGGGUGCGUAAUAUAUAGCUAAUCUGCCCUUUGCUGGAGGACAACAGUUAGAAAUGACUGCUAAUACUCCAUAGCAAGGGAUGAGACUAUAACGUAUCAGCUAGUCGGUGGGGUAACGGCCUACCGAGGCUAUGACCAGUAACUGGUCUGAGAGGAUGAUCAGUCACAUUGGAACGGAGACACGGUCCAAGAUCCUACGGGAAGUAGCAAUAGGGAAUAUGGCGCAAGGGGGGAAACCCUGGCGCAGCAACGCCGCGUGAAGGAUGACACUUUGCGGAGCGUAAACUCCUUUUGUUAGGGACGCGGUACCUAACGAAUAAGCACCGGCUAACUCCGUGCCAGCAGCCGCGGUAAUAC